rnacentral:tRNA from 1 species
GUCAGGAUGGCCGAGCGGUCUAAGGCGCCAGACUCAAGGAUAACCUUCCCUGUAUGACGGGGUUGAGUGUUCUGGUCCACGAAUGUGGGCGUGGGUUCGAAUCCCACUUCUGACA